CGCAGCAGGCGCGAAAACUUUACAAUGCGGGAAACCGUGAUAAGGGAACUCCGAGUGCCCGUAAACGCGGGCUGUCCAUCUGCUUAAAAAACAGGUGAAGAAAGGGCCGGGCAAGACCG
rnacentral:rRNA from 1 species